AGGGACAUCAUAGUGCAAAGAUCUUAACAAUCAUCUUAUUAUCUCUUUAGCAGCCAAGCUCAUUAAAAACAUUGUGUUGGAAAACCGACGCACAUCUACAAGUAAUCACACCACUGGCAGUCAACUCUUUCUGAAAACCUUGGACCAUAGCCCAGGCUAAAAAGAAUAAAAAAACUGCAUUUGUUCUACUUUUUCAGAUAUGUUCCAUGUUGAAAAGCCAACAGAGGGACACACAUAAAGGGAGGAAACACGGGGAUUCCACAAGAGGGACUCUCCCUUACAUAACCAUUCAAGCAGCGUUCUUGUAGAUUUCCUGCCGAAAACCCAUGUGCUGCGCUCACAUGAUGCUAAGGCACUAAAGACAAAAUGAAGGUGACUCCCUCUAGGACUUGAGUCGCUCUAAUGCAAAUUGUCAGAAACCACUUGAAUGGUUUUGAAUAAACUUGGGUGAAUGACGCAUCUUGUCAGACAGCAUGGCACUGAUUGGCCCGUGGGGACGAUCCAUUAUUUGUUGGGGGUGACAUGUCCCCAACAAAACAUUUGCCUUGUUUGCAUAGCGAGUGUCAGCUCACAUUUACUGGCCUAUCAGUGGAAAUAUCCCAUCUGCUCUGGCUCUCAGAAAAACACAACAGACAUUCGACGGGACAUUCAGCAGGAAGGUCUCUGCUGUCAAAAGUCCAUAGGGAAUAGGGCACCCUAUUGGACACACAAUAGUCUGAAGUUCACCCCCUCCAAGGUUACACCACAACAAUAACUCUAUUGGUGUUGCAACGUCAUCAACAACACAAAACGUUAAUUUAGCGUUUAAAGAGGUACUGUCUUCCAUAUGCUACUACAGUGAGGUGACCAGAAGUGAAACAAUGUUGGCCAUAGGUGGCAGCAGUUGGGCGUGGCCCAGUGCCGCCCCUCGCCGUGCCCUUUGACCCCAGUGACUGGCCCGAGCGACU